rnacentral:lncRNA from 1 species
UGCCUUCCUGGGCCACACAUCGAGACUAGGUAUUUCGGGGCGUUUGUCACGCCCAAUGACACAGGACACGUCGGUCUGAAUUCGCAAUCCGACCGUCCACAAGCAGCCGCGCCUACGCGGCUGUCCUUGUCUCCGGCGCCCUCACAGCUCCCUGCUGGCGCCCUGCCCGUCCCGCGGCGCCACCUCCAGGCCGACCGCCGCCUGCGAGCACGGCCACGACGUCGCCUGCCGCUAUGGCUCUAGCACGACAUGAUGCUGCGAGCUCGAUGCCCCCACUGGCGUGGCCUGCAGGAAGGUGCUGAACGCCAUGAAGCCGGCAUCAACCCCAGCAUCCUCUUUUGUGCAACCUGUAGCUCCCGCAAGCAGCAGCCACUGCCUUCACCAACUCUAGAGUGAAGGAUGCACACAACCUGCUCGACGGAAUGACUGCAAGGUAUAUUCAUUUGCUUUGUGAUAGCUGAAAGCUGUGAUGCUUCAACAUUGCGUUGUUUUGAGAUGCAAGAAGAUGCAAAUGCAUCUGCCUAUCGCUUCUAUCACCUGAUAGUAUAGACGAAAGACAAAAUAAAUGAUCAAUUUUGGAAUUAGAGAGUAGGCUGCAUUUGCCUUGU